ACUGGGAUUACAGGCAUAAACAAUUGUGCCCAGCCUGAUUUUGUUUACUUUUUAAUUUUUUUUUUUUUUAACCAGGUCAUACGUUCAAAAUGUUGGGAAAUUUCAAAAGGUAUAAAAGCGUCAUUAUAAAGUCUCUUUCUCAACUUUGUUCUUCUAGAAUCCCAAUUCACCAGCCUGGAGGUGCUUAAUGUUGCUGGUUUCUUAUGUAUUCCUCCACCAAUAUAUGAAAACAUAAGACAUAGAAAGUAAAUAUAUUUAUUUUAAAUGAGACAGAGAGAGAGAGAGAGAGAGGAAGGGAGAGAGAAUUUUUUUAAACCCAAGGCAAAUCAAAAGGGUAUGCAGUGGAAAACAAGUUUAUUCCUGGUGUGAUCAUCAGUUUUCUCUUCAGAUUCACUCUUACCAAUUUCCUGUGUGUCUCUUUAAGAGAUAGGACACUGUUAGUUUGUUAAGCGAUUCAGGUGAUUCUUAUAAUCUUGUGUUUGGGAUACCCCAGUUCUAUAAUAUAAAUUAGAGACUGAAACAGCUGGAAAACCUCACUUGGUUACACAUGAGUUGCAUGAAAUGCGUUACUCAGAUUCUGGAUGUCUUAGUUACAUUUGUUCAUGUAAUCAUUAUUUACCAAAUAACCAUUAUUUGCCAGGCCCAGUCAAUGAUGAGCAAUGAACCUAGCUCACGAGAGCUUGCAGUCUUCACACAGGAAAUAGCCACCUGCACCUGUAAAGGUCCGCACAGGACGCUGCAGAAGCUCCUUGGCAGCAGAACUGAGUGGAGGCUUCUGGAAGGAAGGGAUUUCCACUGAGGUACCGAUGAGACCUCUUUAGUAUUACACUGGCAACCGAUUGCCCUGAGGAUAUGUUUGGAAUAAGGUAAGCCUGCAGCCACGGCUUUUUUGUCUUUUGGAGUUUUGGCCAGAAUGAACAGAGCUUAUGCAAAGUACAUAAUUGAAAAUACCUUUGUUUUGUGCCUUGAGCAACCGCCAGAGGACUUUUAAACUGUGAUGGUGACUAACAAAAUAAGACCUUUGCUAUUGUGCUGAGAAAUGUGAAGAAUUUUAUCCAUUCUUUCGUUCUUGCUAAAUGGUGCAUUGUAUGCUAUCUGUGUGGUUUGGGUCUAGGACAGAUUUCUCUCUGAACUUCACAGCAUGGGUGGAAGAGAGUAAUUUGGCCUUUCGUUUUCCCUGGCAGCCGGUGCCAGUCCAUUUAUAUGGUAUGUUCACAGGAGAGCUGACAAGUGUUGAGAGGUUUUAUUUGAUAUGCGUUUUUUUUUAAGUAGAAAAAAAUCCGUAAAAAUAGGUACUUGUUAGCUAGUUUUCCUGGUUAGUCUUCAGAUCAUAACCAAAUGUUUCAUUAAGGACUUCCACCCCAAAUAGACUAGCUACAUUGAAACAUUCAGGCUGUGUUUAAUAUUCACAAUGUAACCAUUCAUGGCAUGGGCAGUUUUUAAUGAUAGAAAUGCAAACCCACAUUAUUUUUCUGUGUAACUUGUAAAAGCCGUGCCUUCUAAAAUGGGGCUGCUUAUGCUAAUUUGUUAUAGUUAGUGAAUUGCAGGCAGCUCUGUGAAUUUACUUUUCUUGGCAGUUCUAGAAUAUCCUGCCAUAACACAUACUGAAAAACUGUUUGAUGGGUUAUGAAAAUCUGGAUGUACUAAAGGUACAUCUUGUGCAAACCAUAAAAUAAAUAGAUGAUUACAUUUUUAAAAAUCUGUUAUCAGGUUAAGGAAGUUGUCAUUUAACAACCCAAGGAAAAUUAAGCAGUUUUGAAUGGAUGCUAUAUUUUUUCUACUUGUACAUACUGUAAACACUUUCAGUAUCCAACCCUUGCUCUGUUUUUCUGGUCUUUCUGAAAAGACUGCCUAUUGGAGGUAAACUGUAUUUCAUAGAGGGCAUAUAGAACCUAUCUUGGAAGUGGAUGACACCUCGUUGCAAAGGUUAAUUUUCUCAGUAAAGCAUAGAAAGCACUAGUUGACAGAAGUAUUGGAUACAAUAUGUAUUUUGGAAUUCUUAUUAUUUUUAGUCAAGCCAGCAAUGUUGGCCUUAAAGGAUGUUGAUUAUGGUGUCUGUCACUAUUAGUGUUGCCAGUGAUGUGUGAUUGCUUUGUUCAUGAUAAAUGAAUUAAGUAGAUAAUUUGGUUCUUUGCUGUGUUAGCUAUACCAAACCAACUCCUUUGAAACAGUCUAAUCUCGGGGAGCUUGUAAUUUUAAUAGAUGUUAAGAA